AUUGAACGCUGGCGGCAUGCCUUACACAUGCAAGUCGAACGGCAGCACGGAGCUUGCUCUGGUGGCGAGUGGCGAACGGGUGAGUAAUAUAUCGGAACGUACCCUAGAGUGGGGGAUAACGUAGCGAAAGUUACGCUAAUACCGCAUACGAUCUAAGGAUGAAAGUGGGGGAUCGCAAGACCUCAUGCUCGUGGAGCGGCCGAUAUCUGAUUAGCUAGUUGGUAGGGUAAAAGCCUACCAAGGCAUCGAUCAGUAGCUGGUCUGAGAGGACGACCAGCCACACUGGAACUGAGACACGGUCCAGACUCCUACGGGAGGCAGCAGUGGGGAAUUUUGGACAAUGGGCGAAAGCCUGAUCCAGCAAUGCCGCGUGAGUGAAGAAGGCCUUCGGGUUGUAAAGCUCUUUUGUCAGGGAAGAAACGGUGAGAGCUAAUAUCUCUUGCUAAUGACGGUACCUGAAGAAUAAGCACCGGCUAACUACGUGCCAGCAGCCGCGGUAAUACGUAGGGUGCAAGCGUUAAUCGGAAUUACUGGGCGUAAAGCGUGCGCAGGCGGUUUUGUAAGUCUGAUGUGAAAUCCCCGGGCUCAACCUGGGAAUUGCAUUGGAGACUGCAAGGCUAGAAUCUGGCAGAGGGGGGUAGAAUUCCACGUGUAGCAGUGAAAUGCGUAGAUAUGUGGAGGAACACCGAUGGCGAAGGCAGCCCCNUGGGUCAAGAUUGACGCUCAUGCACGAAAGCGUGGGGAGCAAACAGGAUUAGAUACCCUGGUAGUCCACGCCCUAAACGAUGUCUACUAGUUGUCGGGUCUUAAUUGACUUGGUAACGCAGCUAACGCGUGAAGUAGACCGCCUGGGGAGUACGGUCGCAAGAUUAAAACUCAAAGGAAUUGACGGGGACCCGCACAAGCGGUGGACGAUGUGGAUUAAUUCGAUGCAACGCGAAAAACCUUACCUACCCUUGACAUGGCUGGAAUCCCCGAGAGAUCAGGGAGUGCUCGAAAGAGAACCAGUACACAGGUGCUGCAUGGCUGUCGUCAGCUCGUGUCGUGAGAUGUUGGGUUAAGUCCCGCAACGAGCGCAACCCUUGUCAUUAGUUGCUACGAAAGGGCACUCUAAUGAGACUGCCGGUGACAAACCGGAGGAAGGUGGGGAUGACGUCAAGUCCUCAUGGCCCUUAUGGGUAGGGCUUCACACGUCAUACAAUGGUACAUACAGAGCGCCGCCAACCCGCGAGGGGGAGCUAAUCGCAGAAAGUGUAUCGUAGUCCGGAUUGUAGUCUGCAACUCGACUGCAUGAAGUUGGAAUCGCUAGUAAUCGCGGAUCAGCAUGUCGCGGUGAAUACGUUCCCGGGUCU
rnacentral:rRNA from 1 species